rnacentral:rRNA from 1 species
GACGAACGCUGGCGGCGUGCUUAACACAUGCAAGUCGAACGGAAAGGCCCUGCUUUUGUGGGGUGCUCGAGUGGCGAACGGGUGAGUAACACGUGAGUAACCUGCCCUUGACUUUGGGAUAACUUCAGGAAACUGGGGCUAAUACCGGAUAGGAGCUCCUGCUGCAUGGUGGGGGUUGGAAAGUUUCGGCGGUUGGGGAUGGACUCGCGGCUUAUCAGCUUGUUGGUGGGGUAGUGGCUUACCAAGGCUUUGACGGGUAGCCGGCCUGAGAGGGUGACCGGCCACAUUAGGACUGAGAUACGGCCCAGACUGCUACGGGAGGCAGCAGUGGGAAAUAUUGCACAAUGGGCGGAAGCCUGAUGCAGCAACGCCGCGUGCGGGAUGACGGCCUUCGGGUUGUAAACCGCUUUCGCCUGUGACGAAGCGUGAGUGACGGUAAUGGAUAAAGAAGCACCGGCUAACUACGUG